AGUGGGUAUAACCAUCAGAGGCAUUUUCUUCUUCAAAACAACACCAAACUUCUCUGUAAGGUCUAAUAUCUCUCCUUCGGGCAACUUCCAGUCGAAAGAAUGAACGAGUGAAGCCAGUGAAUACAUGAACAUCCUCUCACCCAUGGCUAUCCCCACACAAAUUCUUCUGCCAGAACCAAAUGGAAAGUAGUUGAAAUCAUUUCCACUAUAGUCCCAUUUAUUGCCCAAAAAUCUUUCCGGAUGGAAUUCAGUUGGAUUUUCCCAGAUAGAAGGAUCUCUCUGCAUAGCCCAUACAUUUACAUAAACACGAGAUCCUUUAGGAACAGUGUAUCCUCCCACAGUGCAUGUCUCACUAGGACAAUGUCGCGAUAAGAGUGGAAGAGUUGGAUGUAAGCGCAAGACUUCUUUCAUAACUGCAUAGAGAUACGGUAAUUGUUGAAUAUGAGACUCUUCAACAAUAUUAUCUUUUCCCACAACUCUCUCUAGUUCUUGUUGUAAUUUCCUCAGGACAUAUGGUUUGUUCAUAAUUUCAGCCAUGGCAAACUCAACUGUGUUGGAGGUUGUGUCGGUUCCACCAAUAACCAUAUCCUGUUCAUAGUAUUUGUGAAGUUCAACAAUUUUUUUAUUUGCAGAACUGUCUAUGGGAGCUCAAUUCAAGGUUCACAGUUAAGUUUACACAUAUUAUCUGAUGCUAAAUUUGCCGACUCUUUCCUUUAUGCAGUCCAAUAACAAGUUAGCAACUAACAGUUCAGGACAUGAAUAUAUGAAUCUGAUAUAUCUAAUAUUUAUAACUCAUUUUCCACAAUAAUUCUUCAAUAGCAUUUGAUCCUUUUACUAUGACUAAAUUGUCACUAUAAUCUAUAACAUGUAAGGAAAUAGACUAUUUCAAGUAAAAUGCAAAACUAUGAAACCAGAACCACACCUAAGAACGUGAAUUUUCCAGGCAGAAAAAUGCAACCAACAGUCAGGACAUUAGUUUACGAAUCUGAUUCUUCUGAAAUGUAUUCCCUAUAUGCCACAAUAAUUCUUCUAUGAAUUUACAAUCCCGUUAUCUAUUUCAUUUGAUUUUGAUGCUUUUAUUAUACAACAACAACAAACCCAGUGUAUUCCCACUUUGUGGGGUCUGGGGGGGGUAAGAUGUACGCAGUCCAUCACGGACAGUGUACUGUGUAAGCUAAUAGUUAAUCCAUAUAGAUAAGGAAAAAAUGGUUGAAGACAAAUGCAAUCUUGGCUACUCAAUAAUAAUGUAGUGAUGACUAAGGAGAGGACGAUUUCUUUUUGGUUCAUUUGAAAAAUACAUAUUUAGAAGGAAACAAUCAUAGUAGCAUCCACUGAAAUUAACAGAUUUAUCGUGUCGUAGAAUGCACAACUGAUAAAACAUACCAUAAGUAAUGCUUUGAGUUCAGUCAUAGACAGAGGCAUUUUGGUAUCUGCUUCAUCUUUCAACUUCAGCAAAACUUGCAAAAAGUCCUUGCUUUCUCGGCCAACAAAAGUUCCCAUCUCACCAUUUCUAUCCAAUUCUUUUCUUUGAUCAAUCACGCUCUCAAAUAUCUUAUCAAAUCUCUUUGACAACACCUUCAUCUUCUUUGUAAGACCCUGCAAAUCAAACCAGUCCAAGCCCGGGUAAAAAUCAGAAAGAUUGGGCAUGCCAAGCAGCUCAGUCAUCUCAGUCACAACAUGCCUAAACUCAGCUCCAAGAGUAGCUCUUUCCUCAACCUUCACUGUGUCACCCCAUAUCAUGCUUGUAAUCACAUUAAGCAUUGUCAAGAACAUCUGUUCACCAACAUUCACAGGCGAUCCUGACUGAUUAUAGAAGCAAUUGAUUGAUUCUCUAAGCUCUUGUCGCCUUAGUCCACAAACAGAAUCUAAAGCAGAACCAUUAAGCAUAUCGCGAACACAAACCUUCCUCAACAUGCGCCAUUUCGGUCCGUAAGGAGUCCAAACUAUGUCUUUGCCACCAUAUGAAGAUUCUCUAGCAGCAGCAGGCAUAUCUCUGUUAGCAAAAAGGGUAUCUUGAUCCUUAAGCACCUCACGAGCUAAGGAAGGAGAAGUAAUAAUAAUCCCAAUUUUUUUUCCAAGCCAGAGUCUACAAAUGGGCCCAUAAGUUUGCGAAAGAGAUGCAAAAUAGGUGUGGAGUUCAGGAUCAAGAGAAUGGAGAUUACCUAUCAAGGGAAAAGCUUUAGGCCCGGGUGGCAAUGGCGGCACUCCCUUGUUUGAGUUACUGAUGAGAAAUGAAACAAACCAUAGUACAGCUAAAAUACCAAGAAAAUAGGUGAAAAAUACACCAUUUUUCUCCAUAUUGGAUUCAUGCAGGGGCAUUGCGAAAGAAUCAAACAGAGGUUUGAAGAAUUUGAGUGACAUUAUUUGAACCUAAGAGGGUAAUGGAAAAUGCCAGAAGCAAUGUGGUGUGAAGCUUUUGCACCACUUAAGUUUUCGAGCAACAUAGGAUAAGACAAAAGCAGCUGAAUGCAAAUGCAACCUUGUCUACUCAAAAUAAUGCAAUAGUCACCAUAAAUGGUUUGAACUUUGAACUGUCAUAAAGGGAAGGUUGUUUGUUCCCCAUAUUUGAACACCUUAGAAGUUAGAAAGGACCAACCAAUAUUACAUCAUAAGAAAGACAAUUACCUGAAGAACAAAUAUAUGUUGGGUAAGACCAAAAGUGACUCUUGAAAGGCUACAGAAUAACAAUAUGAAUAUGAACAUACCUCCCCAACACAACUGUUGGUUCCAAUUUGUUUUUCCAGAGUCAUUGUAGACAAAAUAAACUAACGGAAUAAUUAUAUAUAACCUCCCCUCAAAUUUGGCUACAUCACAGUUACUUUUGUUGUUUUGUGAUAUUACUAGUUUAGGUGUACGUGUAGCUCACUUUAUUGAGUUCAAACGUUAGAAUAUUUGUUUAAAAAAUAAAGAUGAAUACAAUAAUUAAAUUCAACAUCUUUUGGAGAAUCUAUUUAAUUAAACUUUACUUUUACCAAAAAAAAAAUCUCAAAGCUGAUCGACAUUUAUCUACCACCUGUAAACUGCAACAAAACAAUAUGAUGAUAGAGUCAUCAAAACAAUAUAAUUAAAUCUAACCUUCGCACAAAAAUUUCUUCAAAGUCGUCUGACACUCAUCUAUAAUCUGUAAACUAUAACAAAAUAAUACCAUAAUAGAGAUAUCAAAUAAUACAACUAAACUUUACCUUUACACAAAAAAAAAUCUCAAAAUAGGGAUAUAAAAACAAUACAAUUAAACAUAACCUUUACUUAAAAAAAUUUCUCAAAGUCGACCGACAUUCAUCCACAAUAGAGAUAUCAAAUAAUACAACUAAACUUUAUCUUUACACCAAAAAAAAAUCUCAAAAUAGGGAUAUAAAAACAAUACAAUUAAACAUAACCUUUACUUAAAAAAAUUCUUCAAAGCCGACCGACAUUCAUCUACUACCUGUAAAUUCAUCUACGGCCUAUAAACUACAACAAAAUAAUACAAUAGUGAUCACAAAGCUUAAUUUUGUAGAAAUAAUUCUUGUCCGAGAAAAAAUUUUGACACUAAAGAAUAACUUAAAUGAAAACAAAGAAGAUAUAUAUAUAUAUAUAUAUAUAUACACGUUGAAUUCUAUUAUGUUGAUAAAAAUAAUCUAGUAAAAAAAAUUACAACAACUAAUGCCUUGUUAAAAUAGGUAAGAAAAAUUAAUUUACCUAAAUUAAAGAAUAUUACAUGAGUUUAUACCUAAACUAAUUUUAUUCGUAACAAAUCCUACGUUUAAAAGGACUCAUAAAUUAAAUUAGUUACCCUAAUAAAAUUAAAUAAUAAUUUAAAAAAAUAGUGAAGGGUAAAAAGUUUAAAUCACUUUUAUAAGGGUUUUCACAUGUUUUAUAUAUUAUAGAUAUAGAUUAUAGACAUAGAUAUAGAUUAUAAAUAUAAAUUAUAGAUUAUAGAUAUAAAUAAUAGAUUAAUGAAAUGGCCUUCAGUAUAUUUAGGAUUGAUUUUUAAUAUCGUAGUUAAAAAAAAAAUUAAUAUGGUUGGUCUUUAUUAUUAUUCCACAUAUUAUUUAUUAGUAUUAAAAUAAUAUGAGUUCCAAAUAAACUAAACUUUACUUAUAGGAAUUUUAGUCUUUUUUUCCUUUUCUUUUCUAGACACUAACGUUCCAUUUUUAAUUUGGUUCAAUUUUGUAUUAAACUUUACUAAUCUGAAUUUUAGCUUUCUUUUUCCUUUCUAAUUUUGUACGUUAAAUUGGGUUUUAAAUUUGGUUCUAUUUUGUCCUUUCUUUUUUUUAUUUCAAUUCAAGUAAUGAAAUAGAAAGUCCUAUUUUAAGAGUAUUUUUCUAUCCUAUUUUAGCAAAAAUAUUAAUUGAUUUUUCUUCCAUAUAUUUUAGGAGUCCCAUAUAUUUUAAGAGUCUAGUUAAUAUAAUAAAAAUAGUUAAAUAAUAAAUUAGAAAAAUAGUGAAAAGACAAUUUUAUCUAAAGGAGUCUUUUAAUUUAGGACAAAAAAUUCAAAUCACUUUUUUAGAGCCUUCACACUUUUAAUAUAUUAUAGAUUAUAGAUAUAGAUGUUUUCCUUUUUAUUUUAAUUUUCUUUUUACCGAUUGUUUUGACCUAAUUAUUAUUAAUACAAAAAUAAAUGAUUUAACUAAUUGUUUAUUUUAUUUUGUAAACACGCUUUCUUCAAGCAAAUAUUGACAAGAGAACAAAGAAAACACCCUUUUCAUAUUUAUUCUUCAUGUGUAUAAACUGUAUAGAAAACUUUGAAUCAAUUUCAAAGGGGAUUCCAUUUUCAUGGAACACAUUUCCAUAGUUCAUCAUGUAAAACCAAAUCGUCAUGCAGAACGCAGCUCUCGACAGAUACAUUUUUAUCUUACUCAUACAGUGUUGGAUUGGAUAAUGUUGGAGUAGGUAUAGCCACCAGAGGCAUUUUCUUCUUCAGAACAAUCCCAAACUUCUCUGUAAGGUCUAAUGCCUCUCCUUCAGGCAACUUCCAGUCGAAAGAAUGAACAAGUGAAGCCAGUGAAUACAUAAACAUCCUCUCUGCCAUGGCUAUUCCCGCACAGAUUCUUCUGCCAGAACCAAAUGGAAAGUAGUUGAAAUCAUUUCCACUAUAGUCCCAUUUAUUGUCCAAAAAUCUCUCUGGGUGGAAAUCAGUUGGAUUUUUCCAGAUAGAAGGAUCUCUCUGUAUAGCCCAUACGUUUACGAACACACGAGAUCCUUUAGGAACAGUGAAUCCUCCCACGGUACGCGUCUCACUAGGACAAUGAGGAACCAAGAGUGGGAGCGCUGGAUGUAGACGCAAGACUUCUUUCAUAACCGCAUAGAAAUAUGGUAACUGUUGAAUAUGAGAUUCUUCCACUAUGUUAUCUUUUCCCACAACUGUAUCUAGUUCUUCUUGUAAUUUGCUCAGGACAUCUGGUUUGUUCAUAAUUUCAGCCAUGGCAAACUCAACCAUGUUCGAGGUUGUUUCAGUUCCACCGACAACCAUAUCCUGCUCACGGUCUUUGUAAAGUUAUUAUCAUGUGUAACAAAAUUCAGACUUGUAGAACAGUAUAUUAGAGUUUAGUUUACGGUUCACAGUUAAGUCUUUACAUAUUAUCGGAUGCUAAAUUUGUUGAUUCUUUCCAUAUGCAGCACAACAACUUGGUAGCAACCAACAGUUUAGGACAUGAAUAUAUGAAUCUAAUUCUUCUUAUAUUCAUUUUUCAUCUGCCACAAUAGUUCUACGAUAAAUUCACAAUCCAGCAGUUACUUAUAUUAACACUUGAUCCUCUUAUUUAACUAACAUCAAUAUAAUCCAAUUUUUCAUCCAUAAUUGGCAAGGAUAAUGAGAAAACAUACCAUGAGUAAAGCUUUGAGUUCAGUCAUAGUCAGAGGCAUUUUGGCAUCUGCAUCAUCUUUCAACUUCAGCAAAACUUGCAAAAAAUCCUUGCUUUCAUGGCCAACACCAGCUCCCAUCCCACCAUUUCUAUCAAUAUGCAGUCUUUUAUCAAUCAUGUUCUCAAAAAUCUUAUCAAAUCUCUUCGCCAACACCUUCAUCUUCUUUGUUACACCCUGCAAGUCAAACCUUUCCAAGCCUGGAUAAAAAUCGGAAAGAUUUGGAGUACUUAACAGUUCAGUCAUCUUAGUAACAACAUGCCUAAAUUCUGCUCCAAGACUAGCUCUUUCCUCACCCUUUACAGUGCCACCCCAUAACAUGCUUGUAAUCACAUUAAGCACAGUCAAGAACAUCUGUUCACCAAUAUUCACAGGUGUUCCCGCCUGGUCAUAAAAGUAAUUGAUAGUUUGUCUAAGCUCCCGCCGCCUUAGUUCAUAAACAGAAUCUAAAGUAGAACCACUAAGCAUUUCACGAACACAAACCUUCCUCAACAUACGCCAUUUCGGUCCAUAAGGAGUCCAAACUAUGUCUUUGCCACCAUAUGUAGCUUCUCUACCAGCAGCAGGCACAUCUCUGUUAGCAAAAAUGGUAUCUUGUUCCUUCAGCACCUCGCGAGCUAAGGCUGGCGAAGUAAUAAUAAUGCCAACUUUUUUACCAAGCCAGAGUCUACAAAUGGAGCCAUAAGUUUGGGAAAGAGAUGCAAAAUAGGUGUGAAGUUCAGGAUCGAGGGAAUGGAGAUUACCUACUAAAGGCAAAGCCUUAGGCCCUGGUGGCAAUGGGGGUUGUCCCUUAUUCGACUUAUUGAUGAAAAGCCGAAGAAACCAUAGUAAAGCUAAAAUACCAAGAGAAUAGGAGAAAAAUACACCCUUUUGCUCAAUAUUUGAUUCUUGCCCUGGCCAUGAGAAAGAAUCAAAUAGAGGUUUGAAGAACUCGAGAGACAUUAUUUGAGGAGCCUAAGAGGAAUAUGAAAAGUGGCAGAGCCAAUUUGGUGGGAAGCUCAAUGCUUUAACACAAUUUAAAACAAAAUGUUUUUUGCUGAAGGAAUGAGAGAUCUUGGAUCAAGACAGAAGGUAUUCUGCAGACCUAUAAUUCAAUCAAUAAAUUGUUCUUUAUACAGCAAUAAGUAAAUAUAAUUCGGCAUAAACAAUGUAUUAAAUUGUUUACUUUUUAUUUUUUUGCUUAGGUCACUAUAUAUCAACGCUAACUAUUUGAACUCAGAAGUUUUAACUGAGUUAAACUUUUUACUUCAUAUUGCAAGAUGCCAAACUUAACUUUUAUAUCUUGUUUUAUUUAAUAUGGAAAGAUACCAAGCUCAACAUUUGUAUCUUGUAUCUUUGGGUUUUAAAUAAAUGAAAAAGUCAAUGACCUUUGUUGGGUAGCUCAAAAGUAUCUUCAGAUUUUGAUACCUUUCAGAAAGAAUUGGUGCUUCUCCUUGUUCACAAGACAAAUAGGGAAAUAGUAUUAAACUAGGUAUAUAUUGUCUUCAAUGCCAGCACAAAUAUGCUCUUUCAGAUACAUUUUUGUUUACUUUAGGGAAAUUUCAGGACGGUGUAGGAUUUUUCACAUCUCAGGAAUAUUUUAAUCACAUCACUAUAGGUGGUAAUCAUUCGUCGUUAAUACCAAAAACUUGCAGCUACUUAGAAAUAUUUGUCCUCGAAUGUUUGGAAUAUAGUCGUUCUAGAGUCUUUGCCACUCUCUCUACCUCCUUAUGCCUCGAAAUUUGACAAACUCCUAAAUUUCUUAAAAUUUCGGUAGAAUCUCCUUAGUAAAUGAAACCAUGCCAAACUUCCAACCUGUUCAUAACAAAAAUCAAUACUAUGGGAACUUUUGAUCAACCCUUAAAGGUUGCACAUACCGUAAUCCUGAAAUAAGUAAGGAUAUCUUGCUUCUAUAUCUUCCUCUGAUUUCCAUGUAGCUAACUCGGAAUUAUAUGAUUAUGCCAUUACACCUAAUGGAGGCUAUGUCUUUCGUUCUCAGUCCACAUACUUGCCUAUCAAGGACGUUAAUAGGAGCCUCUAAUCAACCUUAGCUUUCGAUAUUGCCUGUCCAAAUAGGAAUUUUGACAAUUCUAAAGUAUCUUAAGCUUUGCUCUACCUGGUUCUAACCGAGCUAUGAGCGAUCCACAUUGUUGCCCGUACAAAAGCCUCAAAUGAAACCAUUUGGAUACAAUUGGAUAGAUGCUAUUAUAGGCAAACUUUGUCAAGUGGAUCCCAGUUACAGUGAACGCAUCUCAAUAUAUAGUUCAUCGUACAAAGACAGAAGCAUAAUCUCUACAAACACAUUUCAAUACUCAUAUAAAAACACUAGCAAAAGGCAGGAACAAGAGAUUGCAAACGUCAACGGACUCUUACGGAUAACUUACACAUGAAUUACAAUAUAAAGAUUUAUGAUGAAGCAUAAUAAUUACUGAAGUAUUGAUAUUUAUUGUUGUCUAUUUGGUAUGAGCAUUAAAACAAAGUAAUACAUGUAUUAUUAUAAUUCGAUUCAGUAUAUAAUAUUUAAGUAGUCAUGGAAAUUAGCCAUUUCACAUGUAUUAUUAUUUCAAAUUUGCUUUAGUAUACUAUUUUUAAGAUGAAAACUAGUCAUUUCACAUGGAACAGUGAAACUUUUGAGUUGAGUAUACUAUAUUUAAGUUGUUCAUAAUGUUAGAGUGGGUACAAAGUCCCACAUUGGUUGAGGAAUGGACUGGUAGUUUGCUUAUAUGGAUUUGGGUAAUCCUCACCUUCUGAGCUAGCGUUUGAGGUUGAGUUAGGCCCAAGGUCCAUUUUUUACAUGGUAUCAGAGUCAGGUCCAUCCCCGUUUUGGAGGCCCUGGGCGUGAGCGGGGGUGGUCCAUCCCCAUUUUGGGCUCCCGAUCCACGAGCCAGGCGCCAGUUGGGCCCUGGGCAUGAGCGGGUGUGUCAGGUCCAUUCUUGACACAUAAGACCCAAAUCUUUUAUCUUACUCAUAGAGAGUUGGAUUGGAUAAUCUUGGAAUAGGUACAGCCACCAGAGGCCUUUUCUUCAUCAAAACAAUACCAAAUUUCCCUGUAAGGUCUAACGUCUCUCCUUCGGGCAACUUGCAGUCGAGAGAAUGAAUAAAUGAAACCACUGAAUACAUGAACAUCCUCUCUGCCAUGGCUGUCCCCACACAAAUUCUUCUGCCAGAACCAAAUGGAAAAUAGUUGAAAUCAUUUCCUCUAUAAUCCCAUUUAAUCUCUCUGGAUGGAACUCGGUUUUUUCCAGAUUGAAGGAUCUGUCUGUAUGGCCCAUAUGUUUAUGAACACACGAGAUUCUUUAGGAACAGUGUAUCCUCCCUCAGUACCUGUCUAACUAGGACAAUGAGCAACCAUGAGUGGGAGCUCUGGAUGUAGACGCAAGACUUCUUUCAUAACUGCAUAGAAAUAUGGUAACUGUUGAAUAUGAGACUCUUCAACAAUAUUAUCUUUUCCCACAACUGUCUCUAGUUCUUCUUGUAAUUUCCUCAGGAUGCCUGGUUUGUUCAUAAUUUCAGCCAUGGAAAACUCUACUGUCUUGGACGUUGUGUCAGUUCCACCAAUAACCAUAUCCUGUCCAUGGUAUUUGUGAAGUUGUUAUCAUGUACAACAACUUUUUAUUUGUAGAACGGUGUUCCAAACUAUUUCCCAUAUCCUUGAAUGGUCCUUUCUGAUUGCCCGUCUAUUGGCAGGUGGAAAAUCAUGCUAAGAUUAACCUGUGUGCCCAAAUCUUAUAUCUGGAACAACUGCUAGAAUUGGGUGGCAUACUGUGCACACCGAAUUGCAGGCUUCAUAUUCUUGAAGUGUACCAACUGUAUAGAAACCGUUGAACUAAUUUAAAAUGGAUCCGAGUUACAAGGAACACAUCUCAAUAUAUAGUUCAUUGUGCAAAAGACAUAAGCAUAAUUACUACAAAAGCAUUUCAGUACUCAUCUAAGAAGGAAGCAGGAGAUAGCAAACACCAAUGAGAAUAGUUACAAGCAUCUAUGCUCAUUAAACCAUACUCUUAAGGGAUAACUUACACACGAAUUAAAAUAUAAAGAUUUAUUGUGAAGCAUAAUAAUUACUGCAGCAUUGAUAUCUGUUACAAUUUGGUUCAUUGCAUUAAUACUUGUACUAUUAAUUAAAAUUCGUAUCAGUAUACGGUAUUUAAGUAGUCAUGGAUAUUAGCCUUUUCACAUGAAACAGCUGGACUUUGAGUUGUUCAUAAGACAAUUGCUAGGGUAGAGCAACAUCUUUUAUCUUACUCAUAUAGUGUUGGAUUAGAUAAUCUUGGAAUAGGUACAGCCACCAGAGGCCUUUUCUUCUUCAUAAUAGCACCAAACUUCUCUGAAAGGUCUAAUGUCUCUCCUUCGAGCAACUUCCAAUCGAAAGAAUGAAUGAGUGAAGCCAGUGAAUACAUGAACAUCCUCUCUGCCAUGGCUGUCCCGGCACACAUUCUUCUUCCUGAACCAAAUGGCAAAUAGUUGAAAUCUUUUCCACUAUAAUCCCAUUUACUGUCCACAAAUCUUUCCGGAUGGAACUCAGAUGGAUUUUCCCAAAUAGAAGGAUCUCUCUGUAUAGCCCAUACAUUUACAAGAACACUAGAUCCUUUAGGAACAGUGUAUCCUCCCACAAUGCAUGUUUCACUAGGACAACGUGACACCAAGAGUGGAAGAAUUGGAUGUAUUCGCAAGACUUCUUUCAUAACUGCAUAAAGAUAUGGUAAUUGUCGAAUAUGAGACUCUUCCACAAUAUUAUCUUUUCCCACAACUAUCUCUAGUUCUUGCUGUAAUUUCCUCAGCACGUCUGGUUUGUUCAUAAUUUCAGCCAUGGCAAACUCAACAGUGUUGGAGGUUGUGUCAGUUCCAGCGACAACCAUAUCCUGUCCAUAGUAUUUGCGAAGUUAUUAUCAUGUACAACGAUAUUUUAUUUUGAGAACAGUAUAUUGGAGUUGAUCAGUUCAAGAUUCACAGUUGAAGUCUUCACAUAUUAUCUGUCUGAUGCUAAAGUUGCCAACUCUUUCCUUAAUGCAGCACAAUAACAAGCUUGCAGCUAAUAGUUCAGGACAUGAAUAUAUGAAUCUGAUUCAUCUAAUAUUUAUUUCUCAUCUGCCGGAAUAAUUCUUCAAUACAUUUACUACCCUAUUUUUAACUUCAAAUAGCAUUUGAUCCUCUUAUUAUGACUAAUAUCUCUAUAUGCCAACUUCUCAUCCGUAACAGGUAAGGAAAUUGACUAUUUGAAGGAAAAAAAGCAAACUUGAAACCAGCACCACAUCAAAUGAAAGGAAUUUUCCUAGCAGAAGAAUGUCAGGACAUGAAUUAACAAAUCUGAUUGUUCUGAAAUUUAUUUCCCAUAUACCAGAAUAAUUAUUCUAUAAAUUUACAAUCCUACUAUCUAUGUGAUAUCUCGUAACUUGAGCCGGGGGUCUUUCGGAAACAGCCUUUCUACUUCAUCAGAGGUAGAGGUAUGGACUGCGUACAUCUUACCCCCCCCAGACCCCACUAAGUGGGAAUACACUGGGUUUGUUGUUGUUGUUGUUGUAUUGCUAAAGUGGAUGAAAGUCCCACAUUGGUUGGGGAAUGAACCGGCAGUUUGCUUAUACAGACUUGGGCAAUCCUCCCUCAUAAGCUAGCUUUUAAGGUUGAGUUAGGCCCAGCUACCAUAUGUUACAUGUUACCAGAGCCAGGUCCAUCCCUGUCCGGGCGCCCGGUCCACGCAUGGUGAAAGUCCCACAUUGAUUGGGGAAUUGACUAACAGUUUGCUUAUAUAGACUUGGGCAAUUCUCCUCUCAUGAGCUAGCUUUUGAGGUUGAGUUAGGCUCAGGUGUCAUAUCUUUAAAUGGUUGAAGUGGGUGAAAGUCUCAUAUUGGUUAGGGAAUGGACUGGCAGUUUGCUUAUAUGGACCCGGACAAUCUUUCUUUCAUGAGCUAAUUUUUGAGGUUGAGUUAGGCCUAGGUGCCAUCAUCAUGAUUAGGGUAAGUUAAUAAUUAAUUCAUAGAGAUAAGUGAAUAUGGUUGAAGACAAAUGCAAUCUUGGCUACCAAAUAAUAGUCAGGAUGACUAUGAUUGAUUUGAAGAUUGUGACUGGGAGGAGGAAGAUGAUUAGGGUAAGUUAAUAAUUAAUUCAUAGAGAUAAGUGAAUAUGGUUGAAGACAAAUGCAAUCUUGGCUACCAAAUAAUAGUAAGGAUGACUAUGAUUGAUUUGAAGCUUGUGACUGGGAGGAGGAAGAUUUCUUUUGAAAAAAAAAAUUUAGAAGGAAACAACCACAAUCACAUCUAAUGGAGUGCACAACAGACAAAACAUACCAUAAGUAAUGCUUUGAGUUCAGUCAUAGAUAGAGGCAUUUUGGCAUCUGUUUCAUCUUUCAACUUCAGCAAAACUUGCAAAAAGUCCUUGCUUCCAAGCCCAAUACCAGUUCCCAUCCCUUCAUUUCUAUCCAGUUUUUGUCUUUGAUCAAUCAUGCACUCAAAUAUCUUAUCAAAUCUAUUUGCCAACACCUUCAUCUUCUUUCUAAGACCCUGCAAAUCAAACCAGGCCAAUCUGGGGUAAAAAUCGGAAAGAUUGGGAAUGCUAACCAGCAUAGUCAAAUCAGAGACAGCAUGCCUAAACUCAGCUCCAAGACUAGCUUUUUCCUCACCCUUCACUGUGCCACCCCAUAACAUGCUUGUAAUCACAUUAAGCAUUGUCAAGAACAUCUGUUCACCAAUAUUCACAGGCGAUCCCGCCUGAUUAUAAAAGUAAUUGAUCGAUUGUCUUAGCUCCCGUCUCCUUAGUCCAUAAACAGAAUCUAAAGUAGAAGCACUAAGCAUAUCACGAACACAAACCUUCCUCAACAUGCGCCAUUUCGGUCCAUAAGGAAUCCAAACUAUGUCUUGGCCACCAUAUGAAGCUUCACUAGCAGUAGCAGGCAUAUCUCUGUUAGAAAAAAUGGUAUGUUGAUCCUUAAGCACCUCACGAGCUAAGGAAGGAGAAGUAAUAAUAACCACAAACUUCUUACCGAGCCAGAGUCUACAAAUGGGGCCGUAAGUUUGAGAAAGAGAAGCCAAAUAGGUGUGUAGUUCAGGAUUAAGAGAAAGGAGAUUGCCUAUCAAAGGCAAAGCUUUAGGCCCCGGUGGCAAUGGGGGUAGUCCCUUUUUUGACUUAUUAAUGAAAAGCCAAAGAAACCAUAGUAAAGCUAUAACACCAAGAAAACAGGAGAAAAAUACACCAUUUUGCUCAAUAUUGGGUUCUUGCCAUGGCCAUGGGAAAGAAUCAAACAGGGAUUUGAAGAAUUUGAGAGACAUUAUUUGAGCCUAAGAGGGAAUGGAAGAUGGCAGAAGCAAUGUGGUGGGAAGCUCAAAGCUUUUGCACCACUUAAAUAAGAAUUGAUUCCUGAAGGCACCACUUAAAGUUUCGAGCAACAUUAGGGUAAGGCAAAAGCGGUUGAAGGCAAAUCCAAUCUUGUGUACUCAGAAAUAAUGCGAUAGUGAGCAUAACAGGUUUGCACUUUGAACUGUCAAAAAGGAAGGUCAUUUGCUCCCAUAUUUGAACUCCUUAGAAUUUAGAGGGGACCAACCAAUAUUACAUCAAAAGAAAGUGACUUGUCCUAUAUAGUAGAAAAUGCACAUAGAUGACAUAACAUACCAUAAAAGGCAACUUCACCUAGAAAAAUUCAAUGCUUUAACACCAUAUGCUCACUUCAUUUCACUUGGCCCCUGUUCGGAAAAUAGAUUUUUUUCUUUUUAUUGGUCCAUUUUAGCAGAUCAAGAGAGUUAUGUUACUCUUUUCACAUACUACCCUUCCUAUUAACAUGAAGUAGUUAGCCUUAGUAUUAACAUAAAGUAGUAGUAGCCGAAUUUAGAGUUCCAAGACAUCAUUAAUAAAGUUAGUUUAGUAAAAUACAUCUCUAAUAAAAGUUCUCUUAAGGUUUGUGCCAAGUCAACAUCGGAGGGAGUAUAAAAAAGUAAAAUUCCAAGAAGAAUAAGAAUAUCUUGGAUAAGACAAAAAAGUGGCUCUUGAAAGUCUGCAGAACCACAAUAUGGAUAUAAACAUACCUCCUCAAUCCGACUGCUGCUUCAAACUUCAAAGCAAAAACAGUAAAACUAGUGUUGGUUCCAAUUUGUUUUUGUCAAAUGGUGCCACAUAAGUUAGGGAAGAGGGAGUAAUAUUGUUAUCUUACAAACACAAAAACUCAUCUCUGAUGUGCAUCAGGUAGUAUUAUAGAGGGAGUUAGAUGAUACUAUCAACAGAAGAGCAGCUGGAGAAGAAGAUUAUGGAAUGAAUCUAAUCAAAUACUAGCGGUUUAGGCACACUUAGUGGCAGGUCAUAUAUUCUUUUGUGUCAUUGUUAGAGUGGGUAAAAAGUCCCACCUUGGUUGGGGAAUGGACUAGUGGUUUGCUUAUAUGGACUUGGGCAAUCCUUUGAGGUUGAGUUAGGCCCAAGGUCCAAUCUUGACAUGUAAUAACUACACAGAAACCUGUGAAUUGAUUUCAAGUGGAUCCCAGUUACAGGGAACACAUUUUCAUAGUUGAUCAUACAAACGACAGAAGCAUCAUCUCUACAAACACAUAGCCUAUACUCAUAAUAAAAACACAAGAAAAAGGCAGGAAACUGGAGACAGCAAAUGUCAAAGGAGUUGUUGGAAAUUAACCAUUUCACAUGGAACUUUGAGUUGUCCAUAAGACCAUUGCCAGGAUAGAGCAACAUCUUUAUCUUACUCAUAGAGUGUCGGAUUAGAUAAUCUUGGAACAGGUAUAGCCACUAGAGGCACUUUCUUCUUCAAAACAAUACCAAACUUCUCCGUAAGAUCUAAUGUCUCUCCUUCAGGCAACUUCCAGUCGAAAGAAUGAAUGAGCGAAGCCAGUGAAUACAUGAACAUCCUCUCUGCCAUGGCUAUUCCCGCGCAGAUUCUUCUGCCAGAACCAAAUGGAAAGUAAUUGAAAUCAUUCCCACUAUAGUCCCAUUUAUCGUCCAAGAAUCUCUCCGGAAGGAACUCAGUAGGAUUUUCCCAGAUAGAAGGAUCUCUCUGUAUAGCCCACACAUUUAUGAAAAUACGAGAUCCUUUAGGAACAGUGUAUCCUUCCACAGUGCAUGUCUCACUAGGACAAUGUGGCACCAAGAGUGGAAGAGCUGGAUGUAUGCGCAAGACUUCUUUCAUAACUGCAUAGAGAAAAG
rnacentral:lncRNA from 1 species